rnacentral:misc_RNA from 1 species
UACGGAGGGGGCUAGCGUUGUUCGGAAUUACUGGGCGUAAAGCGCACGUAGGCGGAUUUGUAAGUUGGGGGUGAAAGCCCAAGGCUCAACCUUGGAAUUGCCUUCGAUACUGCAAAUCUAGAGUCCGGAAGAGGUGAGUGGAAUUCCUAGUGUAGAGGUGAAAUUCGUAGAUAUUAGGAAGAACACCAGUGGCGAAGGUGGUUCACUGGCUCGGUACUGACGCUGAGGCGCGAAAGCGUGGGGAGCAAACAGG